rnacentral:tRNA from 1 species
GGACGUUUAGCUCAGCUGGUAGAGCCCCCGCUUGACGUGCGGGCGGUCGAGGGUUCGAGUCCCCCAGCGUCCACCA